rnacentral:rRNA from 1 species
GUCUAUGGCCACACCACCCUUAAUGUGCCCAAUCUUACCCGAUCUUGGAAGCUAAGCAGGGUCUGGCCUGUUUAGUACUUGGAUGGGAGAAACUAUCAAAAAUAAAACACGAGGACUGGAGAGAUGGCUU